rnacentral:rRNA from 1 species
CCUACGGGAGGCAGCAGUGGGGAAUUUUGGACAAUGGGCGAAAGCCUGAUCCAGCAAUGCCGCGUGAGUGAAGAAGGCCUUCGGGUUGUAAAGCUCUUUUGUCAGGGAAGAAACGGUGAGGGCUAAUAUCUCUUGCUAAUGACGGUACCUGAAGAAUAAGCACCGGCUAACUACGUGCCAGCAGCCGCGGUAAUACGUAGGGUGCAAGCGUUAAUCGGAAUUACUGGGCGUAAAGCGUGCGCAGGCGGUUUUGUAAGUCUGUCGUGAAAUCCCCGGGCUCAACCUGGGAAUUGCGAUGGAGACUGCAAGGCUAGAAUCUGGCAGAGGGGGGUAGAAUUCCACGUGUAGCAGUGAAAUGCGUAGAGAUGUGGAGGAACACCGAUGGCGAAGGCAGCCCCCUGGGUCAAGAUUGACGCUCAUGCACGAAAGCGUGGGGAGCAAACAGGAUUAGAUACCCUGGUAGUCCACGCCCUAAACGAUGUCUACUAGUUGUCGGGUUUUAAUUAACUUGGUAACGCAGCUAACGCGUGAAGUAGACCGCCUGGGGAGUACGGUCGCAAGAUUAAAACUUAAUGAAUUGACGG